GUGUCGACGUGCUGAGCUGCUAAGACAAUCCUUCACUUAGUAACUUACGAAUUUUUCUGAGUUUUAGAAUUCUAGAUCUAGAUCUAAAUGUGUACUGUGGCUAUUUUUGUGGAAUCACAAGAAGUUGAGGGCUCGUUGAGGCUGUGUCUAUUGCCUGGCUGUCACCAUGCCAGACCAUUGUGUCAUGGCCACUUUUUAAGGGAACAAAGGUAUUAAGUAUUAAUGCAUGAAACACCAGCAGCCAUUAACUGACAAAACUUGGCCGACCUAUCAUAGGAUCCUAAGGCGCUAUGAAAACUAAGAGGAAGCCAAAAAAGGAUCUAUUUUGGGACAAGAAACAUCAGAUUUAAAGGAAGACAUAUCUCUUCUAUCUUUAGGAGGAGGAACAUAAUGAAAAAGAGGACUUUUCAAGUUCGGACGAAGAAACUCAGCCAUAUACAAAAAAUAGCUAAGAAAAUCACUGCACCUUUAUCACCAAAGAAUCUACAAUCAAUAUUUUGAAAACCCUGCUGGAGGUUAAGCACCAGGGGAUUUCACUCUCUGAGCAAGAGGUGGGAUUAGAAGACAAGGUCCAGCAACUUGGGGGGAAGAAAGUUUUGCAGCGAGCCUGCCCCUUUCUAGCCUGGUAGAAUUUGAUAACCAUGAGGAGAAGUUGUCUGAUCCAAUAUAAAGAAAGUUUUUGAUAGACUAAGACAGUUUGCAGCACCCAGUGCCAAACUCUGGAAGAACCUGAGAUGCCGCUGACCCUAAACUGUAUCGGCACUGCUGUUCCUUUGGAUACAUCAGCUGGGUGGAGUGGGGGGAACUGAUGUGUGGGCGAAAU
rnacentral:sRNA from 1 species